AGACGAAGGUGGCAAGCGUUGUUCGGAAUCACUGGGCUUAAAGGGCAUGUAGGCGGCCCAUCAAGCGUGCUGUGAAAUCCCUCGGCUUAACCGAGGAAUUGCGGUGCGAACUGAUCGGGCUUGAGGCAGGUAGGGGCAAGUGGAACUCUUGGUGGAGCGGUGGAAUGCGUAGAUAUCAAGAGGAACGCCGGAGGCGAAGGCGACUUGCUGGGCCUGUCCUGACGCUGAGAUGCGAAAGCCAGGGGAGCGAACGGGAUUAGAUACCCCGGUAGUCCUGGCCUUAAACGAUGUCUACUAGAUCGGAGUUCUUCUGACAGAUUUCCGGUCGGAACUAAAGCGUUAAGUAGACCGCCUGGGGAGUACGGUCGCAAGGCUAAA
rnacentral:rRNA from 1 species